rnacentral:rRNA from 1 species
AGCAGCCGCGGUAAUUCCAGCUCCAAUAGCGUAUAUUAAAGUUGUUGCAGUUAAAAAGCUCGUAGUUGAACUUCGGGGUCUACCCAUUGGUCAGGCUUAAUUGUCUGCACUGGUGAGAUGGAUCUCUACCUUCUGAGGAACUUUCAUGCCAUUUAUUUAGUGUGAUUGGAAAUCAGGACUGUUACUUUGAAAAAAUUAGAGUGUUUAAAGCAGACUAUCGUCUGAAUACAUUAGCAUGGAAUAAUGAAAUAGGACGGACUGAUUCUAUUUCGUUGGUUUCUAGGAUCACCGUAAUGAUUAAUAGGGAUAGUUGGGGGCAUUAGUAUUCAAUUGUCAGAGGUGAAAUUCUUGGAUUUAUUGAGGACUAACUACUGCGAAAGCAUUUGCCAAGGAUGUUUUCAUUAAUCAAGAACGAAAGUUAGGGGAUCGAAGACGAUCAGAUACCGUCGUAGUCUUAACCAUAAACUAUGCCGACUAGGGAUCGGACGAAGUUAAUUUUAUAAUGACGCG